rfam:Actinomyces johnsonii F0510 genomic scaffold Scaffold585, whole genome shotgun sequence.
CGGGCUGUGGCGCAGUUUGGUAGCGCACCUGCUUUGGGAGCAGGGGGCCGCGGGUUCAAAUCCCGCCAGCCCGA